UGCUCACUUCCAUAGCACGAUACUAAAAUUGGAACAAUACAGAGGAGAUUAGCAUGGCCCCUGCACAAGGAUAGCAUGUAAAUUUUGAAGUGUUCCGUGCUUUA